AAAUGUAGACAUUACAGUCAAACGCAAGGAGGACCUCCAGUCCAAGCAUGGCUGGAUAGAGGUGAUUUUGCCUGCUAGACGCAGGCAAGAUCCAAAGCCGGUUGCAGCCAAACUGCUCUUCUUGUCAGGAAACUACAACGACUUAGUCGAGAAGCGUAUUGCUUUCCUCCAGGGAGAGGAUUUAUGGUCUUCCUUUGGUGAGUCCAGCAAAACGAUUUGCCAGGAGAAGAGGGUGAUGAAGCAAGGAAUGACCGCAUGUUAAGUCAAGAUUCAGUCUCCUGUUACAAAUACUAUCAGAGUGAUGGAUGGAUGGAUGGAGGUGGAUUCUUGGAAAGUGUGGUGUAGACGCUAUAUAAAGAACUGCACUAUUAAAGCUCUUUAAAAAUUCCGUAAGUUUUCUGAUCUCUGUUUAUCGAGGUCACCCAGUACUGUUGGUACAAAACAAAAUGAAAACAACCUGUUUUGCCUAGCUCAAGUUAUUACAACCAGCAGCUUACAAACAGUUGUUUUCGUUGUGUUUCGAACUAACAGUACUUGGUGACUUCGAGAAACGGGGAUCUUUCUGAAAUCUCGCCAGAUUUCCCCUUCAAAGCCUGGUGGUUUGUGUGGAAAUUUUCAAAAUCAUGGAAAUCCACAGUUCACGCGAGAGCACAAUGGAAUUGUCUCUGCGAGACACUCUGACA